CAGUCGCCGCGGUAAUACGAAGGGGGCUAGCGUUGUUCGGAAUUACUAAGCGUAAAGCGCACGUAGGCGGAUAUUUAAGUCAGGGGUGAAAUCCCGCAGCUCAACUGCGGAACUGCCUUUGAUACUGGGUAUCUUGAGUAUGGAAGAGGUUAGUGGAAUUGCGAGUGUAGAGGUGAAAUUCGUAGAUAUUCGCAGGAACACCAGUGGCGAAGGCGGCUAACUGGUCCAUAACUGACGCUGAGGUGCGAAAGCGUGGGGAGCAAACAGGAUUAGAUACCCGUGUAGUCCCUGUCUCUUAUAC
rnacentral:rRNA from 1 species